rnacentral:rRNA from 1 species
CCUACGGGAGGCAGCAGUGGGGAAUAUUGCACAAUGGGGGAAACCCUGAUGCAGCGACGCCGCGUGAGUGAAGAAGUAAUUCGUUAUGUAAAGCUCUAUCAGCAGGGAAGAAAAUGACGGUACCUGAGUAAGAAGCCCCGGCUAACUACGUGCCAGCAGCAGAGGUAAUACGGAGGGGGCAAGCGUUAUCCGGAUUAACUGGGUGUAAAGGGAGCGUAGACGGCAGUGCAAGUCUGGAGUGAAAGGCGGGGGCUCAACCCCGGGACUGCCCUGGAAACUGUACGGCUGGAGUGCAGGAGAGGUAAGUGGAAUUCCUAGUGUAGCGGUGAAAUGCGUAGAUAUUAGGAGGAACACCAGUGGCGAAGGCGGCUUACUAGACUGUAACUGACGUUGAGGCUCGAAAGCGUGGGGAGCAAACAGGAUUAGAUACCCCAGUAGUC